rnacentral:piRNA from 1 species
UAGAAGUAAUUGCUGGUGUCUCCGCUGUC